AGUGAUCGGCAGAGGGUACAAAUUGUGCACUACACUUUCUCAAACAUUUCCGAAAGCCCCAGUACAAAAACUUCACUUUCAUAGCUCACAAUUCUAGAGCCUAUGAUUCCUAUCUUCUUUUGAACCCCUUGAUACAACAAGGCGUUGCACCCAGGGUCAUAGCGCAUGGUAGUAAAAUCUUGUGUUUUGUAGACACCGCCUUCAACCAGAGAUACAUUGACAGUUUAAGUUUCUUACUGUUAUGGAUUUGAUGUAUAAUGACUAAAUUAUGUAUACGUUUAAAGUAACGAUUGAACUAUAACUAACAGAAUUCUACCCUGUCUCUGUAUAAUGAUUUAAAUGUUUCUACAUAGGCAAAGAGGAAGUGUUAACAGACAAAUUGUGACAGACAACUUGUGGCCACUGUGAAACUAAUAACAGGAAGUAAGUCUCCCCACCCAGGGCGGGGGGAAACCAUUAGGCUAGCGGUUUCCAUAUAAUUAGGCGUUAGGCUAGCAUUAGGCUAGCGUUAGGCUAGCAUAUAAUAAGCAAUAUGUGUGUGUUGGAAGGAACUUUUAAAGCAGCUUUGUCAUUGCCAGAGAGGAGGAGCGACGUUUAGGACGUGAUGAGGCAAUGUGUGAUAUAUAAACUAACGUAMGUGUGAUUAUGUUCAGAGCUCUCGAGAAUAAACGUCACUGACUAUUUUUAACUGAUCUCCGUCUGUUUCACUUCCCCCAGAACCUUACAAACUCUGGGUGCAGACUGAGUGUUUUAAUUGAAUUGGUUAAUGAAUACAUAGGAAUUAAAAUUCCUCUAACAAUUUGGUCCUUGGAGCCGGAUCUAAAUAUCUGUUCCUGUCAUCUGAAGGUAACAAGCCGAGAAACCAUGCACGGGUGGGACGUGGUCCCGUAAAAUAAAGUCCUGUCCCCUAUAACAGGCCGGUAUAUACCCCAGGUAGACAGGAACAGUGACUAGAUCCAACCGACAUUGCUUUUCCCAGUCUGCGAGACCAGGACAACAUUCAACUCGAUCAGCUUCAAGCUAACUCCAGCAUCACUGAUCAGCAACUCCAUACAUCUGACUCAGAUGAAGGGCAAAGGGGCAUUAACCAACAUGGAGCUCAUUGUUCUUGGAGUACAGCAGUAUCAAUCAUCAUUAUUGGACAACCUCAGGAAGCAGAUGGAGGCAGUGCUAAAGAAGCAUUCAGGAAGCACAUCAGGUCAACUUGAAAAAGAUGCAAUGGAUAUAUGUGACAAUUUCAUUGACCCUUUUGCUGGCGUUGCAGCAACAUUUAGACAGGACAGUGUUAGUAAAAAGCAGUUUAGCUGUUUGGACGCAGAGGGAAUUCGAAUUGCUCKAACCAUAUGCAGGAUGAAAUAUGGAGGAUCAAAAGACAUUUUCAUCAAAGACAAAUUAUUUCAUUAUGUACCAUUAGUCAAAAGUCUAGAACAGUUCUUAUCACACCCAAGGAUUUUGUCUAUGGUUGAAAAGGGACCCCAGAUGUGCAAAGUUAUUUUCAUGACAUUGUUGAUGGUGCUCUUCUAAAAUCACAUCCCUUAUUUUCAGAGAAACCAAAGGCAUUGCAGAUUGUUCUGUACACAGAUGAAAUAUAGAUCUGUAAUCCACUAGGAUCAUUUGCAUUAAAAAAACAAGUUGUUAAUGGUGUACCACACCCUAGGAAAUAUAAAUCCAAAAUAUAGGUCUAAACUGGCUGCUAUCAGGCUACUCGCCAUGGCUAGAUCAGCAGACCUCCGUCAAUCUGGUGUAGAUGUMAUAUUGAAUAGAAUCAAGGAAGACAUGGAUGCAUUGUACAGUGGGGUUAAAAUGCAAACUAUUAACRGAGAGAAAACGAUAUAUGGUGCCAUGGUCUCUCUCUGUGGAGACACCCUGGMACAACWUGAACUAGCAGGGUUCAAAGARGUUGUGGGCUUUGCCUACAGUAAGUGCAGACACUGUGAGUGUUCUUUUGAGGACAUGCAGUCACUCUUCAAUGAGGAUGCAUAUACAAAAAGGACAUUGGAGAAGCAUGUCAGACAGUGKGAUGAAAUWGAAAAGGCACAGACGGACUUGCUCCGCAACAGCCUGAGAACAACAUAUGGGAUCAAUAGAAGGAGCAAGUUAGUUGAAUUCCCAGCCUUUGAUAUCAUACAACAAACUCCGCAAGACAUUGUGCAUAUAAUUCUGGAUGGCAUAGCCCCAUUGGAAAUCAAAUGUGUUUUGAAUCAUCUUKUUGUGUCAGGACAGAUUGAUCUGGACUCAGUGAAUACUGCUAUUCUUGGUUUCCCUUAUUCCYCUCUAGAUGUUAGAGAUYGGCCCUCCCCAAUUUCUGUUAGUACAUUAACGUCAAGUGAUGGUAAAUGAAAACAGUCAUCUGGGCAAAUGCUUGUCCUGCUAAGGAUAUUGCCAUUUGUUUUGGAGAGUUUGGAAGUCAAUGCAUAUAUGACUGAUAAUUGAGCAAAUAGAGGUUGUACAGAUAGUAUUUGCACCUGUUCUUUCCAUUGCGACUGUGUCUAGGUUGAAGUUACUCAUUGAAAAUCAUUUGAAGCAUUGGAAGGAGCUUUUUCCAGACCGCAAUGUUACACCUAAACAGCAUUAUAUGAUACAUUUGCCAUUACAGAUAAAGUCAUUGUGCCCCAUGGUUAGACAUAUGUGUAUGCGGUUUGAGUCUAAACAUUGUUUCUUUAAACAAUGGGCUUCCAAGCUCAAUUWWAAAAAUAUUUGCAAGUCUAUGAUCAAUCAGAACCAAAUAUAUGAAAGCUGCCAAAAUGUUGACAGUUCAAUGCACCCAAUUUUUUCAAAUGAAAGGGAGAUGGGACCUGUAUCAGAGGUUAAAGAUCUACAAUAUUUACGUGGGAAAUUGAGGGACUUCCUAGGUUUCAAUGAAGUAAACCAUGCUGUAUCAGUCAAAUGGCUUGUAAUAAAUUMGAAUAAAUACAUAACUCAGAAGUCUGUGAUCUUUGCCAAAGUACUGAAUGGUAAUAUGCCAGAAUUUGGAMUGGUCAAAAACAUAUUUCUUGUUGAUUCUAGGCUUUAUUGUUUGGAAUAUCAACCAUUUCAAACUAUACGCUUUGAUAGAAAUGUCAUGGCUUAUCAAGUUGAGGUCCCUCAYCUUGCACAGACCACUGAGUUAGUGGAUGCUGAAAAGCUGGUUGAUUUGACCUCUUAUUACACAAUUAGCAACAAGAGCCAAACCUAUGUACAAGUCAAAUACCAUCUUGGGGAUGUAAUAGAAUUGUACAACAGUUCAAAUGACUCAUAGUGUGUUCCCCAGAUAUGACAAGUGUACUGUCUUUGUUCUGUACUGUAUUUUGUCUACAUGAUUGCUGUGCUGUGUGUAAGAUUGACAAUAAAACAGUGAAUUCCA